GAAAACCCCGCAUCCCCCAUUCACGGAAAUUCAUGAUUUCUGUGGUUGUCACGGGCACCCGGGCAGCGAGACACUGAGACGCUCCAACUACUCAGAGGUUGGCUUUCGGUGCCCUUCACCUGCUCUGCCCUGUACUAGGCACUGAAGGGGGACCCCGAGAUGGGCAGCAGCCCCCUCUGAAAGAAGCUGGAGGGCUCUUGGGCAAAACAAAGCAGUCCCACAUGAAAAGCCCGUUGAAACACUGGGAGCCGGGUCUCAGCUCCAAAAUCCUUGAUUCUACAAAUCUGUGUGAGGAAGAAUGACAGCAUCGCCCAGAGCCCCCGAGGGGAAGUGACAAAGGCUCCUGGGUGCCGUGGGCAGCGGCAGCAGACCAGGGGGCAGGGUGGAGGUGUGCGGUGUGGGCACCUCCCCAGGGCCAAGUGGACUGUGCUGUCGAAAACGGGGGCUGCAGAGGGGACUUUGUCAUGGGGAGCCCGGGAGCUGCCCCAACAUUGCUCCCGCAGCAGUGAGCAGGUGAAAGGGCUCUGUCGGCUGGGCCUUCAGCCUGAAGACACAACAAAAGAACUCAAAUGAGUCAGAGAUGGG
rnacentral:lncRNA from 1 species